AAGCUAGUAAGGUUCAUGAAGAAAUAAUGAAGACUUUUUCCAGGUACCAUGUGACUUUGUCCACUUAUGCUCACACCCAAUAACAAAGAAGAAAAAAAGGAGAAAAGGAUCAGAAAGAAGAAGAUGAGGCAGUGGCAGCAGAAGAAGAGAUAGCUGGAAAAGCUUCCGUCUUUUGUUGCCUUAUAUACACCAAUCCGACCUUGCUCAACUCUGCCUGAGCUGCAUAGUCACCUCUAAGCUUUCCCAAACCACAGAUGAUUGGAGGCCACCCCAGAAUUACUGAGUCUGAAUCUGCUGCAGUUGUGCCCAGGUGUGUGUGCAGUGUUUAAGUUCCCCAUGGACCAUUCUAAUGCACAACCAGAUUUGAGCAAUACUGGAUGGGGCAGUUUACCUGAGAAAAGAUCUUAUUUCAUUGUCAUGACAACCACAGAAAGUACAUACUUUGAUCUUCAUCUUAUAAACAAUGAAUCCAAGUCGCUGAGAAGUUAAAAACUUGCUCAGGGUAACACGAGACAGAAUCUGACUCUGUCGCCCAGGCUGGAGUGCAACGGCGCGAUAUCGACUCUGCAACCUCUGCCUCCCGGGUUCAAGCGGUCCUUGUGCCUCACCCCCCUGAGUAGCUGGGACUACAGGCAUCCGCCACCUCGCCAGGAAGAUGACCAUCUUUUACUGCCCAACGACAUCUUUCUACCAAUGUGAACAGAGACUAGCAGCACAGUGAUCACCUGCAGAUAGACCUGGCUUUAUCUGUACAUAACACCAAAAGAAAAAACCUGGAUUCCAGAAGGAAAUAAAGAUUUUCAGUCCCUGCAA
ensembl:lncRNA novel transcript